AACCGGUGAAAGGGCAUAUGGUUAACAUUGUGAAAGGGCUCAAGGUCUAUGAAGACAUCUUCACGAACUCAGAGCUUGGGAAGCUUUCUGAAUUCAUAAAUGAGCUCCGUCUUGCUGGCCGAAGGGGAGAACUCUCAGGUGAAACAUUCACUUUCUUCAACAAGCAAAUGAAAGGGAACAAGAGAGAGAUCAUUCAGCUGGGUGUUCCAUUGUUUCAACCACCUAAGGAGGAGGCAACAAGUAACAUCGAACCGAUCCCCCCAGUUCUACAGACUGUCAUCGAUCAUCUGGUUCAGUGGCGGCUAAUUCCAGAAAGUAGAAUUCCCAACAGUUGCAUUAUCAACUUCUUUGACGAGGACGAGUAUUCA
rnacentral:misc_RNA from 1 species